UAAUACGAAGGGGGCUAGCGUUACUCGGAAUUACUGGGCGUAAAGGGCGCGUAGGCGGCGCUCCAAGUUAGGCGUGAAAGUCCUGGGCUCAACCUGGGAACUGCGCUUAAGACUGGAGUGCUUGAGGAUGGAAGAGGGUCGUGGAAUUCCCAGUGUAGAGGUGAAAUUCGUAGAUAUUGGGAAGAACACCGGUGGCGAAGGCGGCGACCUGGUCCAUUACUGACGCUGAGGCGCGAUAGCGUGGGGAGCAAACAGGAUUAGAUACCCUGGUAGUCCACGCCGUAAACGAUGUGCGCUGGAUGUUGGGUGACCUAGUCACUCAGUGUCGUAGCUAACGCGAUAAGCGCACCGCCUGGGGAGUACGGCCGCAAGGUUG
rnacentral:rRNA from 1 species